GUGUUCAUCUCAGCAGCAUAUAGACUAAACUUGGAAUAAUACAGAGAAAGUCAACAUGGCCCCUGCAUAAGGAAGACACGCAAAUUCAUGAAGCAUUUCAUAUUUUU
ensembl:snRNA U6 U6 spliceosomal RNA